rnacentral:rRNA from 1 species
UGCCAGUGAUAAACUGGAGGAAGGUGGGGAUGACGUCAAGUCAUCAUGGCCCUUACGAGUAGGGCUACACACGUGCUACAAUGGCGCAUACAAAGAGAAGCGACCUCGCGAGAGCAAGCGGACCUCAUAAAGUGCGUCGUAGUCCGGAUUGGAGUCUGCAACUCGACUCCAUGAAGUCGGAAUCGCUAGUAAUCGUGGAUCAGAAUGCCACGGUGAAUACGUUCCCGGGCCUUGUACACACCGCCCGUCACACCAUGGGAGUGGGUUGCAAAAGAAGUAGGUAGCUUAACCUUCGGGAGGGCGCUUACCACUUUGUGAUUCAUGACUGGGGUGAAGUCGUAACAAGGUAACCGUAGGGGAACCUGC